ACUAUGGCCUCAGAUAAGACGUGGUGAUGCGCUGAAUUUAAGCAUAUUACUAAGCUGAGGAAAAGAAACUAACCAGGAUUCCCUCAGUAACGACCAGUGAAGAGGGAAGAGCCCAGCGCUGAAUCCCCGUUCAGUGGCAGGCGAGGUGGGAUAUGUGGCAUACAGAGAGACCGACUCCUCGGCAUCACUCACGGGGCUAAAGUCCUUCUGAUCGAGUCUCACCCCGCAGACGGUGUUAGGCCGGUAGCAGCCUCUGGCACGCCGGAUCAGGUCUUCUUGGAGUCAGGUUGCUUGGAAAUGCAUCCAAAGCAGGUGGUGAACUCCAUCUAAGGCUAAAUACAGGCGCGAGACGAAUGGCCAACAAGUACCAUAGGGGAAAGUUGAAAAGAACUUUGAAGCGAGGGCUUGAAACCGUUGAGAGGUAAACUGGUGGGGAUUCAACACGGCAGGCAGGUCGGUCGCCUGGAACGGUGGAUGCCCUCGCGGAACUGCGGCCCGGGCAGACCCAGCCCCCGAAGGGCACAUUUCCUCUGUGGCGGUGUACCGCGACCGGCUGGGAAGGCCCCAGGGGGGCAGGUGGCUCUCGCCACCGGCAGAGAGUGUUACAGCCCCGUUCCAGCAGUUUUGCUGUGUCCACGGGAUCGAGGGAGAUUGACCGCUGCUGUGCCCUUCUCCAGCAACUGUCCUGGCCCCUGUUGGGGGUCGCCGCGGUGGCCUUCCCUCAGUGCGCCCCAACCACAUUGUGCCGCUGGGCAGGGAGGCACACAAAGGGCACCAGGGGUCUGAGGUGAUGUCGGUUAACCACUCGAUCUGUCUUGAUACACGGGCCAAGGAGUCUUAACGCACGUGUGAGUCGGAGGGCCAAAGGAAACCCUGUGGUGCAAAGAAGGUGAGGGCCGGCGUGUGCCAAUUGCAGUGGGGUCCCGUCACGGUGGGCGCACCACCCACCCGUCUCGCUAGCUCUGUCGGAAAGAUGGAGCAUGAGUGUGUGUGAUAGGACCCAAAAGAUGGUGAACUAGGCCUGGUCGAGGUCCGUAGCGGCCCUGAUGUGUAAAUCGGUCGUCCGACCUGGGUAUAGGGGCGAAAGACUAAUUGAACCAUCUAGUAGCUGGUUCUCUCUGGUGUUUCCCUCUGUAUAGCUGGCACAUGGAAACCCCAGUUUUAUCUGGUAAAGCGAAUGAUUAGAGGUCUUGGGGCCAAAAUGAUCUCAACCUAUUCUCAAACUUUAAAUGGGUAAGAAGCCCGGCUUGCUGGCGUGGAUCCGGGAAUUGAAUGCAAGUGGCCAGUGGGCAACUUUUGUUAAGCAGAACUGGCACUGCGGGAUGAACCGAAUGCUGUGUUAAGGUGCCCGAUGCCAACGCUCGUCAGACCCAGAAAAAAGUGUUGGUUGAUAUAGACCACAAGACGGUGGCCAUGGAAGUCGGAAUCUGCGGGGAGCGUUCUCUUUUCUUUGUGAAGGGCAGGGCACCCUGGAAUGGGUUCGCCCUGAGUGAGGGGCCCGAGCCUUGAAAGCGUUGCGGUUCCGACUGUGUGCGGUGAGCUCUCGCUGGUCCUUGAAAAUCCAGUGGAGAUGGGUGUAAAUCCUGCGCUGGGCCGUACCCAUAUCCUCAGCAGGUCUCUAAGGUGAACAGCUUCUGGCAUGUUAGAAAAUGUAGAACAGUGUAGGUAAGCGAAGUCGGCAAGUAAGAUGCGUAACUUCGGGAUAAGGAUUGGCUCUAAGGGCUGGGUCGGUCGGACUGGGAAGCGGGGUUGGCCUGCCUGCGGCUGGACAAGGCGUAUCACCCUCCUCCGGGGGCAGUGCCGACACUGGAUGCGAGCCGGGCCCUGCCUGUGGAUCGCCCCAGCUCCGUUGGUCGCGGAUUUGGGGCAGACGCUCUGCUUCGGCUGAAGCCUAGCAGCUGACUUAGAACUGGUGCAGACCAGGGGAAUCUGACUGUAAACAGUAUCGCGAAGGCCUGCGGUGGCUGUUGAUGCGAUGUGAUUUCUGCCCAGUGCUGUGAAUGUCAAAGUGAAGAAAUUCAAUGAAGCACGGGUAAACGGCGGGAGUAACUAUGACUCUCUCAAGGUAGUCAAAGGCCUUGUCCUCUAAUUAGUGACGUGCAUGAAUGGAUGAACGAGAUUCCCACUGUUCCUACCUACUAUUCUAGCGAAACCACAGCCAAGGGAACAGGCUUCACAGAAUCAGUGGGGAAAUGAGACCCAGUUGAGCAUGCCUCUAGUCUGGCACUGCGAAGAGACAUGUGAGGUGUAGGAUAAGUGGGAGGCCUCGGGCCGCCAGUGAAAUACCACUAAUCUUAUUGUUUUUUCACUUACCCAGUGAGGGGGGGCGAGCCCGGGCUCCUUCUGGCUCCAAGCACCCGCGUGCGUGAUCUGCUCCGGGACAGUGUCAGUUCAGUUGGGGAGUUUGACUGGGGCGGUACACCUGUCAAACAAUAACGCAGGUGUCCUAAAUCGAGCUCAGGGAGGACAAAAACCUCCCGCGAAGCAGAAGGGCAAAAGCUCACUUGAUCUCGAUUUUUCAGUAUGAAUACAGACUGUGAAAGCGAGGCCUCACGAUCCUUUUGACUUUUUGGGUUUCAAGCAGGAGGUGUCAGAAAAGUUACCACAAGGAUAACUGGCUUGUGGCGGCCAAGCGUUCAUAGCGAUGUUGCUUUUUGAUCCUUCGAUUUCAGCUCUUCCUAUCAGUGUGAAGCAGAAUUCAGAAGCAUUGGAUUGGUCACCCACUGAUAGGGAACGUGAGGUGGGUUUAGACCGUCGUGAGACAGGUUAGUUUUACUCUACUGAUGUGUUGUUGCAAUAGUAAUCCUGCUCAGUACAAGAGGAACCACAGGUUCAGACAUUUGGUGUAUGUGCUUGGCUGAGGAGCCAAUGGGGCGAAGCUACCAUCUGUGGGAUUAUGACUGAAUGCCUCCAAGUCAGAAUUCCCCCACCCCCCAAACCGUAACGAUACCCCAGCGCUGUCGAGCGUCGGUUGGCCUAGGAUAGCCGCCUCUGGGUCGGUGUGUAUAGCCGCUCGCCUCGGGACUCGAGUGUGGACAGAAGGGGGCUACCCUCUCUCCCGUAGUCUACUGCAUGUUC
rnacentral:rRNA from 1 species